rnacentral:rRNA from 1 species
GAUGAACGCUAGCGACAGGCCUAACACAUGCAAGUCGAGCGGGAUUCUCCUUUCGGGGAGAUGAGAGCGGCGCACGGAUGCGUAACGCGUAUGAAACCUGCCUUAUACAAGGGGAUAGCCCAGAGAAAUUUGGAUUAAUACCCUAUAGUCUUUUAAAUACGCAUGUAUUAAAAAGUAAAGUUUCGGCGGUAUAAGAUGGUCAUGCGUGACAUUAGGUAGUUGGUGAGGUAACGGCUCACCAAGCCGACGAUGUCUAGGGGUUCUGAGAGGAAGGUCCCCCACACUGGUACUGAGACACGGACCAGACUCCUACGGGAGGCAGCAGUGAGGAAUAUUGGUCAAUGGCCGCAAGGCUGAACCAGCCAUGUCGCGUGAAGGAAGACUGCCCUAUGGGUUGUAAACUUCUUUUAUACGGGAAUAAUGUGAGCUUCGUGAAGCUUUUUGAAGGUACCGUAUGAAUAAGCAUCGGCUAACUCCGUGCCAGCAGCCGCGGUAAUACGGAGGAUGCGAGCGUUAUCCGGAUUUAUUGGGUUUAAAGGGUGCGUAGGCGGACUAUUAAGUCAGUGGUGAAAUCUUGCAGCUCAACUGUAAAACUGCCAUUGAUACUGAUAGUCUUGAAUUUAGUUGAGGUAGGCGGAAUGUGUUGUGUAGCGGUGAAAUGCAUAGAUAUAACACAGAACACCGAUUGCGAAGGCAGCUUACUAAGCUACAAUUGACGCUGAUGCACGAAAGCGUGGGGAGCGAACAGGAUUAGAUACCCUGGUAGUCCACGCCGUAAACGAUGAUUACUCGUUGUUGGCGAUAAACAGUCAGCGACUGAGCGAAAGCAUUAAGUAAUCCACCUGGGGAGUACGUUGGCAACAAUG